rnacentral:rRNA from 1 species
GGUUCAGAACGUCGUGAGACAGUUUGGUCCAUAUCCGGUGUAAGCGUUAGAGUAUUGAGAAGAGCCUUCCUUUGUACGAGAGGACCGGGAAGGACAAACCUCUGGUGUACCAGUUCUUUAAAAGGGAAACGCUGGGUAGCCAUGUUUGGUUCGGAUAACCGCUGAAAGCAUCUAAGCGGGAAACUUGCCUCAAGAUGAGAUCUCACUGGAGCCUUGAGCUUCCUGAAGGGCCGUCGAAGACUACGACGUUGAUAGGUUGGGUGUGUAAGCGCUGUGAGGCGUUGAGCUAACCAAUACUAAUUGCCCGUGAGGCUUGACC